UUUAUUACACAAAGUUUGAUAAUAGCGGUUAAAGUACUUCUUAGCAAUACGUUCUUUAAAAAGGGUAAUAUUUUCUUUAUCACUAAUUCUUUUCACAUGCAUUUUAAUAACGAAAUAUGAAAUUUUGAGCAUUGCAGGACUAAUUCUAUCAUAGUUUUCGGACAAGACUAUCAAUUUAAAAUCAUUUAUCUCUGAAGAGCUGGAUUCUCCUUUAUAGUCAAAUGAUACUGCAUUAUAAUUUUUUUUUGAGGAAGUUUGAGGAGGAAUGUCCACAGGUUUAAGCAAAGACAAUUGAAGAUUAUCAGCAUUUAAUAAUAUGUUUUCCAACUGACAGCAGGAUUUUAUUCGAAAAAGUGCUGUGUAGAAGCUGAAGCGUGUAUCAAGUUUAGAAAUCUCCUUGUGGACGAGUGCAAUGUGUGCCCGUUUACAGAAGCUGCAACUAUAGCGUCAGCUUGCAACUUACUUUUCCGUAGGAAUUUUUUAAAACUGGAAACCAUUAAUACCCAAAACAAGUUACAGACUGACAGAUAUUCAAUCAAAAAUCGUUCUACAAUGGUUAAUUUGGGAAGAAGACCAGAGACAAAUUUAAAUUCAACACGCAGGACUAGAGGCAUCAAUAAAUGGAAUAAAAGUAGAUGGAUUUUGUUCAUAAUACAUUUAUGUACUGUAAAGUUAAAGAAAAUGAAAAAAUAAAGUACAUAGACAUAUGCUCGCUGUAUCCGUACGUGUGCAAAUACGGAAAAUUCCCAGUAGGCCAUCCAGAAGUUUUAGUGGGGCAUAAAAUUGAUAUUGAAAGUAUUAAUGGUUUAAUUAAAUGUAACGUCCUUCCGUCAACUAAUUUGAUUCAUAAAUUCAACACGCAGGACUAGAGGCAUCAAUAAAUGGAAUAAAAGUAGAUGGAUUUUGUUCAUAAUACAUUUAUGUACUGUAAAGUUAAAGAAAAUGAAAAAAUAAAGUACAUAGACAUAUGCUCGCUGUAUCCGUACGUGUGCAAAUACGGAAAAUUCCCAGUAGGCCAUCCAGAAGUAUUAGUGGGGCGUAAAAUUGAUAUUGAAAGUAUUAAUGGUUUAAUUAAAUGUAACGUCCUUCCGUCAACUAAUUUGAUUCAUCCUGUUCUACCAAUAAAAUAAAAUAGUAAACUAAUGUUUUUACUUUGUUCUACGUGCAGUCUAUAUGCGAACCAAGAUGAAUGUCUUCAUUCUGAUGAAGAUAGAACUUUAUCAGGAACGUAGGUGAUCGAUGAAGUAUUCAAAGCUGUAAAAACGGGAUACAAAAUAAUUGAAAUACAAGAAAUUGGGAAAUACGAGGUGCAACAAUUUGAUAAAAAUUUAGAUUAUCAUGGGCUAUUUACAGAAAUGAUGGAUAAAUUUCUUAAAACUAAACAGAACGCUUCUGGGUGGCCUAAAGAGUGUAUUACAGAAGAGUCAAAGCAAAAUUAUAUUGAAGAAUUUUUAAAUCAAGAAAAUAUUCAGCUUGAUUCAACAAAUAUUUGUAAAAAUCCGGGAAAAAGAAUCUACAGAAAGUUUAUAUUAAAUUCUUUCUGGAGAAAAUUUGGUCAAAAAAUAGUAAAAAGUCCAGCAAAAUUUUAUUACCUUUUGUCAGAUCCCAGCAAAGAUGUGAUGCAUAUUUUGAUAAUUAAUGAUGAAACUCUGUUAGUCAACUGGAAAUAUAAAAACGAAGAAAUGGAUUCGUUGCGUACAGUAAAUGUAUGUAUAGCAGGCUAUACCACUGCCCAACUGUAUAGUUAAAACUCUAUGAUUAUUUAGAAAAAUUAAAUGAUAAAGUCUUGUAUUAUGACACUGAAUAGGUUAUUUAUGUGUCAAAAGAAGAUGAAUAUGAACCACAUCUAGGCAAUUUUAUUGGAGAUAUGACCAAUGAGCUGGAGUCGAAUGCCGAACUGCAACAACUAAACGAGAAAAACCUCGGAUUCAAGUUUCUAGGAAGGGAUGUCAACAGAUGGAACAUGGCUCUGUUUGA